rnacentral:rRNA from 1 species
AUGGCUAAGAUGGUGGGCCUUCAAUUUCAGUUUAAAUACCGCAAAGGCUCGGAGAACAAUGCCGUAGAUGCAUUAUCUCGUGUGGGUCAUUUGUACACAAUCACAUCAGUCUCGACUUGCCAACCAAUGUGGAUGCAGGAGAUUAUGAAUUCCUAUCAAACUGAUCAAUCAGCUCUGGACCGAUUAGCUCGUCUGGCAGUUCAUAGUCCGGGUGAACACAUUUAUUCACUUGAUCAAGGACUGAUUAAAUAUCAAGGACGUGUGUGGAUUGGUAGUAAUUCUGCGCUGCAAACAAAACUAAUCAGUGCUCUGCAUUCAAGUGCUGUCGGGGGUCAUUCAGGUGUCAGGGCCACUUAUUACCGUGUGUCCAAAUUAUUCCGAUGGUCUGGCAUGAAACAACAAGUUUAUGACUGGGUGAAGCAGUGGCAAGUUUGUCAGCAAGCAAAACAUGAGCGCACACAUCCAGGUGGGUUGUUGCAGCCUUUGCCAGUGCCUACGCGCCCUUGGAAGGACAUUACCAUGGAUUUCAUAGAUGGGCUUUCGAAAUUAGAAGGAUUUGAGGUAAUCCUAGUGGUGGUCGAUCGACUCACUAAAUACGCUCACUUCUUUCCUCUGAAACACCCCUAUAAAGCUCAGUCCGUAGCCACAGUUUUCAUUGAUAAUGUAGUUCGCCUUCAUGGAGUUCCGGCAUCGAUUGUUUCCGACCGAGAUAAGGUGUUUACCAGUUUUUUUUGA